AGCUUUGCGCAGUGGCAGUAUCGUAGCCAAUGAGGUUUAUCCGAGGCGCGAUUAUUGCUAAUUAAAAAAAUAGAUAGCUUUAGGGGCACCUGGGUGGCUCAGUCUGAGUGUCUGACUUUUGGUUUCCACUCUGG